rnacentral:miRNA from 1 species
UGGAAUGUGAAGAAGUAUGCC